AUGGGGCAUCUGCAGAUGCUCAGGUCCUUGCAGCCGGCUCUCCAUGUCAUCAGUCCAUGGUUUGUUGGACCUGCAUCUGCAGAUGCUCAGGUCCUUGCAGCCGGCUCUCCAUGUCAUCAGUCCAUGGUUUGUUGGACCUGCAUCUGCAGAUGCUCAGGUCCUUGCAGCCGGCUCUCCAUGUCAUCAGUCCAUGGUUUGUUGGACCUGCAUCUGCAGAUGCUCAGGUCCUUGCAGCCGGCUCUCCAUGUCAUCAGUCCAUGGUUUGUUGGACCUGCAUCUGCAGAUGCUCAGGUCCUUGCAGCCGGCUCUCCAUGUCAUCAGUCCAUGGUUUGUUGGACCUGCAUCUGCAGAUGCUCAGGUCCUUGCAGCCGGCUCUCCAUGUCAUCAGUCCAUGGUUUGUUGGACCUGCAUCUGCAGAUGCUCAGGUCCUUGCAGCCGGCUCUCCAUGUCAUCAGUCCAUGGUUUGUUGGACCUGCAUCUGCAGAUGCUCAGGUCCUUGCAGCCGGCUCUCCAUGUCAUCAGUCCAUGGUUUGUUGGACCUGCAUCUGCAGAUGCUCAGGUCCUUGCAGCCGGCUCUCCAUGUCAUCAGUCCAUGGUUUGUUGGACCUGCAUCUGCAGAUGCUCAGGUCCUUGCAGCCGGCUCUCCAUGUCAUCAGUCCAUGGUUUGUUGGACCUGCAUCUGCAGAUGCUCAGGUCCUUGCAGCCGGCUCUCCAUGUCAUCAGUCCAUGGUUUGUUGGACCUGCAUCUGCAGAUGCUCAGGUCCUUGCAGCCGGCUCUCCAUGUCAUCAGUCCAUGGUUUGUUGGACCUGCAUCUGCAGAUGCUCAGGUCCUUGCAGCCGGCUCUCCAUGUCAUCAGUCCAUGGUUUGUUGGACCUGCAUCUGCAGAUGCUCAGGUCCUUGCAGCCGGCUCUCCAUGUCAUCAGUCCAUGGUUUGUUGGACCUGCAUCUGCAGAUGCUCAGGUCCUUGCAGCCGGCUCUCCAUGUCAUCAGUCCAUGGUUUGUUGGACCUGCAUCUGCAGAUGCUCAGGUCCUUGCAGCCGGCUCUCCAUGUCAUCAGUCCAUGGUUUGUUGGACCUGCAUCUGCAGAUGCUCAGGUCCUUGCAGCCGGCUCUCCAUGUCAUCAGUCCAUGGUUUGUUGGACCUGCAAAUGUGGAACCAGCAGACACAAAUCCGCUGCUGUGCUGUGCUGUGCUGAGUUGUGUUCGACUCUGUUACCCAUGGACUAUAGCCCACCAGGCUGCUCUGUCCACUGGAGUGGGUUGCCAUUUCCUCCUCCGGGGAUCUUUCCAACCCAGCGAUCCAACCCAUGUGUCGUGUCUGCCCUGCAUUGGCAGAUGGGUUCUUUACUGCUGAGCCACCUGAGAAGCUGA
rnacentral:lncRNA from 1 species